AUACUUACCUGGCAGGGGAAAUACCAUGAUCGUGAAGGUGGUCCUUGCAGGGUCAGGCUUAUCCAUUACACUUCAGGUGUGCUGACAUCUGCAAUUUCCUCAAAUGUGGGAAACUCAAUUUCAUAAUUUGUGGUCUGGGGGACUGUGUUCAUGCUAUCCCCUG
rnacentral:snRNA from 1 species